rnacentral:rRNA from 1 species
GAUGAACGCUAGCGGGAGGCUUAACACAUGCAAGUCGAGGGGUAGGGAAGCAAUUCCUGAGACCGGCGGACGGGUGCGUAACGCGUAUGCAACCUGCCUUAUACAGGGGGAUAGCCCAUGGAAACGUGGAUUAACACCCCAUAGGAUUACGGGAUCGCAUGAUUUUGUGAUUAAAACUGAGGUGGUAUAAGAUGGGCAUGCGUCUGAUUAGGUAGUUGGUAGGGUAAUGGCCUACCAAGCCGACGAUCAGUAGGGGUUCUGAGAGGAUUACCCCCCACACUGGUACUGGGACACGGACCAGACUCCUACGGGAGGCAGCAGUGAGGAAUAUUGGUCAAUGGCCGGAAGGCUGAACCAGCCAUCCCGCGUGCAGGAUGACGGCCCUAUGGGUUGUAAACUGCUUUUGUACCUGAAGAAUAGGCCCAACGAGUUGGGAUUUGCCGGUAAGGUAUGAAUAAGCAUCGGCUAACUCCGUGCCAGCCGCCGCCGUAAGAC